rnacentral:lncRNA from 1 species
AGAAAGUCUGCGAAGAUGAAUCAUUAACAAAAAUUGUGGAAAACAUGCGUAUUUGCCAGCAGUCAAAAAUUUUGACGUUAAAACUUGGCACUGAAGCAGCUCAUGAGCAUGAGCAUGGACUAUUGAAUGAUACUGCAUUUCUCCUGAACCUGCUGCAUUUCUCAGAGCCUGCUGAUCUCCAAGAGGAAGCCCUGAUUGGUUUCAUCCUUUGCCUUCCACCAGCCUUUGUGAACAGAUCAAACAUUAACCAGAAAGAAAAUUAACAUUGUUUUGGCCAAAGCAGUGUGGGUGCAAGGGCUUGAGGGCACAGUGAGAAGCAGAGGAAGAAGGAGGAAGAGGAGGGUACCAGCCCUCCUGUGGGCAAACUGUCCAAUUAACUUGUUUGGAUUACUGAUUCACAACAUGACACCUCUGUCACCUCCAGCAAGAAGAUGGUAACCCAGAUCUGGUGGGUGGAGAUGUCUGAAGCUCUCAGGGUCAUCUUUAGCUUUUCUGGCAGCAGAUUGUUGUAGCUACUGGAUGAUUGGUUUGCAUCAGCCUGGAGAAGAUAAGAUAUUAGCUAUAUAGCCAAUACAUCCUUGUUACCUGGGGAAGAAAGCAUUGGACUGUUGCCAAAAAUUCAGUAAAAAUCAAAAAACUCCUUGACAUCAAUUUACCAUUAAGAAGAAGGCAUUCUUUAUUUCUCCAGAUGCACAAGAGGAUAUCUCCUCCAAAAUGUAGAGAUAUUCAUAGAAUGCCUGUCCUCUCUGACCACAGAAAUCACACAUUUGGAAGAACAUAAGAGAGGUGCAGGAGUGCAUGGGUUGAGGGGAAUAUGAACUUUUUAAACUGGCUUUGCUAUUAAGAAAGGGUAAGGUUGAACAUCCACAUCAGCUCACAUUCAUCACCUCUGGGCCAUGCCCUCCCACCCAUAUAUUCCUUACCUCUUUCAUCACCAGUGAUGCACAGGAAGCUGAUUCAUCUCAAGUUUCCUGUGGCAAAAAAAAAAAAUAGAAAAAGAGCUUAAGGUAUGAAGGAGAUGCUCCCUUGUUAGCAUGCAAGUAUGUGAUGAGCAAACCUCUAAGUACUGCUGAUUCCUCUGAGACAACAGCAAUUGGAUGAGACAAUCCAUGGGGCUUUUGACUAUCUCCUUGGAUCCAAAAUUAUUUUCUCAACACAUGGUUAGAAUGGGAGCUUACUGGGAUUAUUUGGAAACCUGCAAAGCAUCAUCCAUGUAGAUUUUGUGCUGAAGCAGACAUAUUGGAACCAGUAGGUAUUUAUAAUAAGCUAAAAAGAGCUUUUGUUGGAAAAUAGUAAAAAGAUGUGGAAUUAAAGAGAACAAGUGAUAAAUAUGAGAAAUGUGAGUUGGAGUCACAUGUAUGGAAGGUAUAUGAAAUAGCACUAAGCACAGUGCCAGUAACUUUGACUAAUCAAAUGUCUGUAUAAUGAGGAAAGGUGAGUGAAGUCAUAGCAAUAUUCUUGUUGCUCAAAAAGAGGAGCAGAAAUCUCUAUCAAUCUGUAUCAAAUCUGUCUCCUGGGUACUCUUACAGUUCUUACGAGCUGCAGGAAAGUGUCUCCAGCUUCAGAAGAGGAUGUUUGUGCUUUUCAGGCGAUCUUGCUGAGAUGAAUAAACAAAUAGGGCCAGGAAAUGGUCUUUUUUGA